rnacentral:rRNA from 1 species
UACAGAGGUCCCCAAGCGUUGUUCGGAUUCACUGGGCGUAAAGGGUGCGUAGGUGGCCGGGUAAGUCUGAUGUGAAAUCUCCGAGCUCAACUCGGAAACUGCAUCGGAUACUCUCCGGCUAGAGGAAUGGAGGGGAGACUGGAAUACUUGGUGUAGCAGUGAAAUGCGUAGAUAUCAAGUGGAACACCAGUGGCGAAGGCGAGUCUCUGGACAUUUCCUGACGCUGAGGCACGAAAGCUAGGGGAGCAAACAGGAUUAGAAACCCCUGUAGU